GGUCCUGUAUUAAACCUUUAAUAUAAGAUUAUACAUCGUAAUGAUUGUAUUAAAACAGAAUUUUAAAUUCGACCAGCAAUAAUAUAAUACUGAAAAUCAAAUUGUUGUUGCAUCUGGAAGCUGAAAAUGUGCACCAUGAACCGGGAUAACUGUUCAGAAACAUAGACACUGACGCACGGUGCCACAGGGCGCAUCAGCCAUGCUUCCGAUCAGUAUGUGCAUCAGGAAACUGGUUACACUGCUAUCGAGGAAAAAAAUACUGUCUGCACGUCACGUGGUUGUGGACAUACUUCCGUAUGCUGGAUACUUCAGGUGAAGUGCAACCACCAAUGGCUGCAUGUAACUACUCGCUCUGUUCUGGCCAGGAGAGAGGUAUAAUCUGAACUUGCCACACUGCUUCAUUGUACUCUGCACGGCAUGGCCCUGUUACAAUGACUGCUGCAUAGUGACUCAUAAUCAGGCUUCUAUCGGAACUGAUAUUACGCCAGAGAAGAUUGUUUUUGUUAUUCUCAAGUGAACACAAAUGAUCCUUCAAUUGUUAUUACGACUUGUGAAUUUUGUGCCACGAACAAAGUGUUUUUGACUUCAACCUGGGAAUAAUCAUUUAAUACAGCAUGCACCUCCCAUGAUGGGCUUUAACAGUGAUAAUGAGGAUUAAACCAGGAUUUAACAAAAUACAAUAAUUUUUCUUAAAGAAAACACAAUAUUUUUAAUAACAACUUAUAUUCUGUCAUUCAACCAUAACAGACAGACACUUGUCAAAAAUAUACAUGAUAUAAAAUUAAAUAUUUCACUUUGUAUGUUUACAACCCACAUGUUCUCAGGAAUUAGUGCAUUCAUAAACAAAAUGCAUACUAACAGUCUUAGUUGAUUAUCAACAAUGAUUAACAGCAAAGAUACACGAAAUGACUAGCUUAGACAUUAUUUAUGAAUAAGUAUGAUUUUUAUGAAAGUGAAUUUUGACACUGUUUUCCCCAAAAUAUUUAUUUGUUUCACUGCGCAAUACUUUCAGGACUAUUAUUACUAUUUUGUAAAUACACGAUUAUUUGAGCAAAUUACAAAUUAAAUCUAGUUGUAAAUAAUAUAUAUAAUUCUUGUCAGUGCUCAUUAUUGCAUCUUCAUUCUUAUGCUUCUUCAAGGGUUAUAGAAUGUACCAAUUGUGUCUAAAGAAUCACUUUAACUAGUAAGAACAUCUUUUGUACUAGUUAUUUGUUACAGUUCAUUUCAUUUCUCCAAAAUAAAAUUCUCAAAUAUAAAUUGGUCUUAUCAAAACAUAAGUGCAUUUAUUGCAAGCAACAUAAUCUCUUCUGCUUCUGUUGUAAAUGGUCUUAAUAAAAUAAUAAAAAAAUAAAUAUGACAGCAACCUCAGAAGAAUCAGCAUUGCUGUGUAAGUGUCUUUGUUUUUAUUGCUGGUAAGUACCUUUUUUUUCUUUGGCCAGUGGUAUUCACUAUUCAAACAAUUGAAUCAGAAUUUUUUUAUAGGU